GGAUCAUUGAUGUUUUUAUUUAUCCUUUAAUGUACGUAGAAUUUUUCCGAAAGUGGUUAUGGGAAAAGAUAUAAGUUCUGGCGUAUUCCAGGGUCAGACUGGCCAGUGAUUGGUCUUAUAGAUAGCUGUUGAGGAGGCUGAUUUACUCACUAUCUAGGAGUUCGGAGGUCAGCUGGUGGCUUUUGGAGUCUCUUGCACUUCAUGAAUUACACCUGUCACUGCUUGUUGUUUGAACCAUAGUUGUCAAGCCAUUGUUUAGGCAUCCAGGCUCUUGGGUCCAAGGCAACAACACGCCUUGUUAACAUUUCAUGAGUCGACAGGGAUUAUUUAUUUAUUUUUUUUUAAUGAAGUUGCUUGCAUUCUAUCCCUUGUUUUGUUUAUUACAUGUUGAUUUUCUCAUCUAAAAUCUUUACUAGCAUGAUCAUAUCAUAUUGUAUUGAUAUAGUUUCUAUAUUGCAUAUAAGCAUAAUUAUAUAAAACUAUCAUUGCUAUAUUACAUAUUGUCAUAAACUGCACGUCUUAGGUCACCUAGUUGCCAUGAAAACUAUGUUUUGAACGUGUUAUCCAUUUGAUAUCCUGAUUGGCUUGAAGGAAGGUAGAGACGAGAGUUUGUGUUGUGUGAGAAGUAUCAUCACGACCAUGCUUGAAUUUGCAAUUGAUCCUUUUUAUCUUUUGAUUUUGGUGCAUUUUUUACGUUUACCUGUUCUAUUAGAUUUCUAUGCAUGUCAUGCCCUACUACUAUGCCAUCUUCUUUUGCAUGUAGUGUGUGGAAUUGGGAAGGAGGAAUGACAAAAAUGGGAAGAGAACAUGCAUUUGAGGGAAUGUAAGUGUUCCUCAUGAAUGAUAACACGCACAUAAAAGACCACAUACCACCCCUAGUGAGGUGCAGUCUGCACAGGUUGUUGGCUCCAAGGAUGGUGGAAGGGUGAAAUGAUGUUGAGACAGGACUUAAAAGCAUGUGCUAUUUUACUUGAUAUAUGGUAUGGCAUGAUUGUGAUAGGAACUUGCGAAGUUUGUGACAAUGCUUUUGUUGAUGAGUUAUGUAUGGCAAAAUGGAUUCAUAAAGCUAUGUUCCCUCCCACAAUGUUUCAUUUGUUUGUAUACAGCAUCAAACUGUCUCCUUAUCAGUAAUAUGAUGCACAAACAAGUGCAUGUAUUAUUAUGUGGUGACGGAAAUGUUGUUGGUUCAAAUCAUGUCUGUUCCCAAAUUCUGACAUACUAUGCUUGCAUCUCAAAUCCGGCUUCAACUAGAGACGCUGCUAGCUGAGAAGGGCAUUGAAGAUGUCACAGAAGUUUAUUCCAUUUCAAUUCCCACAAACACCACUGUGGACUCUUCUCUGAUGGCCACACCCACAGCCCCAACCACACCACCACCACCACCUCCUAAGUCCAGUUGUGGACAGUUUGUUCAACCUGUUCCCACACCACUAGUUACAGAGGUUGUCUGCAGUGCAGUACCACCAGGCUCUACUACACAUGUCCUUGUGGUGGAAUAUCCUGAACAAUCAUCAAAGCCUAGUGUCUGAACAGUCGACUCAUCAGAGGCUACUCUAUCUGUAAAAAUUUUCUUUUAUCAUUUUUUUGUGUAUUUAUGAUUUAUUUUAUUUUAUUUUAUGUGCAUCUAUCUGUGUUAGCUUUUCCUUAUUUUUUGGGGUGGGAUUUUUUUGGGAUGGAAGGUGGGGUGGCGUGGGGUGGCGGGUUAUGUGUAUUAACAUUAUGAGGUUCAUUGUAGUAACAAUAACAAUAAUAAUAAUACCA